rnacentral:rRNA from 1 species
GUGAUCGAAAGCUGAAAAGCACUUUGGAAAGAGAGUCAAACAGCACGUGAAAUUGUUGAAAGGGAAGCGCUUGCAGCCAGACUUGCUUGCAG